rnacentral:rRNA from 1 species
UACAGAGGUCCCAAGCGUUGUUCGGAUUCACUGGGCGUAAAGGGUGCGUAGGUGGUGGGGUAAGUCGGAUGUGAAAGCUCGGAGCUUAACUCCGAAAUUGCAUUGGAAACUACCCUGCUAGAGGGUCGGAGGGGGGACUGGAAUACUUGGUGUAGUAGUGAAAUGCGUAGAUAUCAAGUGGAACACCAGUGGCGAAGGCGAGUCCCUGGACGACUCCUGACACUGAGGCACGAAAGCUAGGGGAGCAAACAGG